GUGGGGGAUAUUGCACAAUGGAGGAAACUCUGAUGCAGCGACGCCGCGUGAGUGAAGAAGUAUUUCGGUAUGUAAAGCUCUAUCAGCAGGGAAGAAAGGCUCGUAAGAGAGAUGACGGUACCUGACUAAGAAGCCCCGGCUAACUACGUGCCAGCAGCCGCGGUAAUACGUAGGGGGCAAGCGUUAUCCGGAUUUACUGGGUGUAAAGGGAGCGCAGACGGUCAAGCAAGUCUGAAGUGAAACCCCACGGCUCAACCGUGGGCUUGCUUUGGAAACUGUUUGACUAGAGUACUGGAGAGGUAAGCGGAAUUCCUAGUGUAGCGGUGAAAUGCGUAGAUAUUAGGAGGAACAUCGGUGGCGAAGGCGGCUUACUGGACAGCAACUGACGUUGAGGCUCGAAGGCGUGGGGAGCAAACAGG
rnacentral:rRNA from 1 species